CCCGCACAAGCGGCGGAGCAUGUGGCUUAAUUCGACGCAACGCGAAGAACCUUACCAAGGCUUGACAUACACCGGAAAGCCGUAGAGAUACGGUCCCCCUUGUGGUCGGUGUACAGGUGGUGCAUGGCUGUCGUCAGCUCGUGUCGUGAGAUGUUGGGUUAAGUCCCGCAACGAGCGCAACCCUUGUUCUGUGUUGCCAGCAUGCCUUUCGGGGUGAUGGGGACUCACAGGAGACUGCCGGGGUCAACUCGGAGGAAGGUGGGGACGACGUCAAGUCAUCAUGCCCCUUAUGUCUUGGGCUGCACACGUGCUACAAUGGCCGGUACAAUGAGCUGCGAUACCGUGAGGUGGAGCGAAUCUCAAAAAGCCGGUCUCAGUUCGGAUUGGGGUCUGCAACUCGACCCCAUGAAGUCGGAGUCGCUAGUAAUCGCAGAUCAGCAUUGCUGCGGUGAAUACGUUCCCGGGCCUUGUACACACCGCCCGUCACGUCACGAAAGUCGGUAACACCCGAAGCCGGUGGCCCAACCCGUGAGGGAGGGAAUCGUCGAAGGUGGGACUGGCGAUUGGGACGAAGUCGUAACCAAGGUAACCAGGGUAGAG
rnacentral:rRNA from 1 species